rnacentral:rRNA from 1 species
AUUGAACGCUGGCGGCAGGCCUAACACAUGCAAGUCGAGCGGAUGAAGGGAGCUUGCUCCUGGAUUCAGCGGCGGACGGGUGAGUAAUGCCUAGGAAUCUGCCUUGUAGUGGGGGAUAACGUCCGGAAACGGGCGCUAAUACCGCAUACGUCCUGAGGUAGAAAGUGGGGGAUCUUCGGACCUCACGCUAUCAGAUGAGCCUAGGUCGGAUUAGCUAGUUGGUGGGGUAAAGGCCUACCAAGGCGACGAUCCGUAACUGGUCUGAGAGGAUGAUCAGUCACACUGGAACUGAGACACGGUCCAGACUCCUACGGGAGGCAGCAGUGGGGAAUAUUGGACAAUGGGCGAAAGCCUGAUCCAGCAAUGCCGCGUGUGUGAAGAAGGUCUUCGGAUUGUAAAGCACUUUAAGUUGGGAGGAAGGGCAGUAAGUUAAUACCUUGCUGUUUUGACGUUACCAACAGAAUAAGCACCGGCUAACUUCGUG